GAUGAACGCUGGCGGCGUGCCUAAUACAUGCAAGUCGAACGCACAGCGAAAGGUGCUUGCACCUUUCAAGUGAGUGGCGAACGGGUGAGUAACACGUGGACAACCUGCCUCAAGGCUGGGGAUAACAUUUGGAAACAGAUGCUAAUACCGAAUAAAACUUAGUGUCGCAUGACACAAAGUUAAAAGGCGCUUCGGCGUCACCUAGAGAUGGAUCCGCGGUGCAUUAGUUAGUUGGUGGGGUAAAGGCCUACCAAGACAAUGAUGCAUAGCCGAGUUGAGAGACUGAUCGGCCACAUUGGGACUGAGACACGGCCCAAACUCCUACGGGAGGCUGCAGUAGGGAAUCUUCCACAAUGGGCGAAAGCCUGAUGGAGCAACGCCGCGUGUGUGAUGAAGGCUUUCGGGUCGUAAAGCACUGUUGUAUGGGAAGAACAGCUAGAAUAGGAAAUGAUUUUAGUUUGACGGUACCAUACCAGAAAGGGACGGCUAAAUACGUGCCAGCAGCCGCGGUAAUACGUAUGUCCCGAGCGUUAUCCGGAUUUAUUGGGCGUAAAGCGAGCGCAGACGGUUUAUUAAGUCUGAUGUGAAAGCCCGGAGCUCAACUCCGGAAUGGCAUUGGAAACUGGUUAACUUGAGUGCAGUAGAGGUAAGUGGAACUCCAUGUGUAGCGGUGGAAUGCGUAGAUAUAUGGAAGAACACCAGUGGCGAAGGCGGCUUACUGGACUGCAACUGACGUUGAGGCUCGAAAGUGUGGGUAGCAAAAAAGAU
rnacentral:rRNA from 1 species